UGAACCAGGAACUUAAAAGAAAAAUAAAAAUAGUAAGUUGCAGUGCAGCACUCAUAUCGAUUCUUACCUGAAGAACUGUACCGAUGCGUUGAGCUUAUGCUUUGUGAAGAUGCUUCCCUGCCUGUGCCUCAAUGUCUGAGAAAUGAUGUAAGUACUGUACCAGCAGUGACAUUGAACCUAGGCAUCAGUGAGUAACACCAUUAUUGCAAUGAUUAAAUGCAACACCCAAGCGUUGCUCUUCUUUUCCACUAAACCAUCUUACUUCUGCUUGAGUUUUUCUUUGUAGUCAAUCCGUGCCAUUGUUUAAAGCUGUAAAUAAAAAUGGGUGCUUUGCUUGGAGACAUGAUAUAUCCAGAUUAUAAGCGUAUUAUACCACUUGGAAUAUAGCCAGGUAACCAAAUAUUGAUACCUUGCUUUAUUAUUUUUUCUCGCAUGGAGAUGCCGAAAAUUAUGAUUUGCAUCUGAAAUCUUGAAAAAAGAAUAUGAAGUAAUCUUCAUGUUUUGAAAUUGAUUUUGUGGGCAGCGUGCAAGGUUUACAAAUUACAAUCUGUGAACGCAGCGAUUACAGUGGCAGGUUAACUCAAGUUAAGAUCAGGAAUAUUGAAUGCUCCUUACUCCUAAAAGGAUCAGCUAAAAUUCUCUCUUGCAUCUCUCUGUGGAUUUAGCUUUCUGGCUUAUAAAAGGACUGAAAAGGUUUAUGAAGAGUUCAAGUUGAAGAAGCUUUUGCUCGACAAAAGCAAAUGAAGUUUAGACAUGCAUGUGUGAAGAAUUUGCUACAAUCAGCAAACGAGGAUA